rnacentral:rRNA from 1 species
UCACCUACGGGGCGCAGCAGUGGGGAAUAUUGCACAAUGGGGGAAACCCUGAUGCAGCGACGCCGCGUGAAGGAAGAAGUAUUUCGGUAUGUAAACUUCUAUCAGCAGGGAAGAAAAUGACGGUACCUGACUAAGAAGCCCCGGCUAACUACGUGCCAGCAGCCGCGGUAAUACGUAGGGGGCAAGCGUUAUCCGGAUUUACUGGGUGUAAAGGGAGGGUAGGAGGGGCAGCAAGUCAGAAGUGAAAGCCAGGGGAUCAACUCCGGGAAUGCGUUGGAAACUGUUGAACUAGAUUGCAGGAGAGG